rnacentral:rRNA from 1 species
GACGAACGCUGGCGGCGUGCUUAACACAUGCAAGUCGAACGGAAAGGCCCUGCUUGCAGGGUACUCGAGUGGCGAACGGGUGAGUAACACGUGGGUGAUCUGCCCUGCACUUCGGGAUAAGCUUGGGAAACUGGGUCUAAUACCGGAUAGGAGCCAUCUUUAGUGUGGUGGUUGGAAAGUUUUUUCGGUGUAGGAUGAGCUCGCGGCCUAUCAGCUUGUUGGUGGGGUAAUGGCCUACCAAGGCGGCGACGGGUAGCCGGCCUGAGAGGGUGUACGGCCACAUUGGGACUGAGAUACGGCCCAGACGCCUACGGGAGGCAGCAGUGGGGAAGAUUGCACAAUGGGCGCAAGCCUGAUGCAGCGACGCCGCGUGGGGGAUGAAGGCCUUCGGGUUGUAAACUCCUUUCGCUAGGGACGAAGCUUUUUGUGACGGUACCUAGAUAAGAAGCACCGGCUAACUACGUG